UACGUAGGGAGCAAGCGUUGUCCGGAAUCAUUGGGCGUAAAGCGCGCGUAGGCGGCCUCGUAAGUCCGUUGUGAAAGUCAAAGGCUCAACCUUUGAAAGCCGAUGGAUACUGUGAGGCUAGAGUCCGGAAGAGGCGAGUGGAAUUCCUGGUGUAGCGGUGGAAUGCGCAGAUAUCAGGAGGAACACCGAGUAGCGAAGGCAGCUCGCUGGACGGUGACUGACGCUAAGGGCGCGAAAGCGUGGGGAGCGAACAGG
rnacentral:rRNA from 1 species